UACGGAGGGUGCGAGCGUUGUCCGGAAUCACUGGGCGUAAAGGGCGCGUAGGCGGCUUGAUAAGUAGGGGGUGAAAUCCUGCGGCUUAACCGCAGGGCUGCCUUCUAAACUGUCAGGCUCGAGCACAGUAGAGGCAGGUGGAAUUCCCGGUGUAGCGGUGGAAUGCGUAGAGAUCGGGAAGAACAUCGGUGGCGAAGGCGGCCUGCUGGGCUGUUGCUGACGCUGAGGCGCGACAGCGUGGGGAGCAAACAGG
rnacentral:rRNA from 1 species